AGGACGAACGCUAGCGGCGUGCCUAAGGUAUGCAAGUCGAACGGACCCGCAAGGGUUAGUGGCGAACGGUUGAGUAACACGUAGACAACCUGCCUCGAAGUGGGGGACAACAGCGGGAAACUGCUGCUAAUACCGCAUGUGGCCCUGUUCCGCCUGGGACAGUGGCUAAAGGCGCAAGUCGCUUCGAGAUGGGUCUGCGGCCUAUCAGUUUGUUGGUGGGUAACGCCUACCAAGACGACGACGGGUAGCUGGUCUGAGAGGAUGAUCAGCCAGACGGGGACUGAGACACGGCCCCGACUCCUUCGGGAGGCAGCAAUGAGGAAUAUUGCGCAAUGGGCGAAAGCCUGACGCAGCGACGCCGCGUGGGUGAGGAAGUCUUUCGGAUGUAAAGCCCUUUGUCGGGACGAUCACAGACGGUACCCGAGAAUAAGCCCGGCUAACUACGUGCCAGCACGCCG
rnacentral:rRNA from 1 species